AUUGAACGCUGGCGGCAGGCCUAACACAUGCAAGUCGAGCGGCAGCGGAAAGUAGCUUGCUACUUUGCCGGCGAGCGGCGGACGGGUGAGUAAUGUCUGGGAAACUGCCUGAUGGAGGGGGAUAACUACUGGAAACGGUAGCUAAUACCGCAUAACGUCGCAAGACCAAAGAGGGGGACCUUCGGGCCUCUUGCCAUCAGAUGUGCCCAGAUGGGAUUAGCUAGUAGGUGGGGUAACGGCUCACCUAGGCGACGAUCCCUAGCUGGUCUGAGAGGAUGAACAGCGACACUGGAAAUGAGACACGGUCCAGACUCCUACGGGAGGCAGCAGUGGGGAAUAUUGCACAAUGGGCGCAAGCCUGAUGCAGUCAUGCCGCGUGUAUGAAGAAGGCCUUCGGGUUGUAAAGUACUUUCAGCGGGGAGGAAGGCGAUAAGGUUAAUAACCUUGUCGAUUGACGUUACCCGCAGAAGAAGCACCGGCUAACUCCGUGCCAGCCGCCGCAGUAA
rnacentral:rRNA from 1 species